rnacentral:lncRNA from 10 species
GGGCCUAGGCCAGCGACUGACAGAGAGAGAUAUUGAACAGAGAGCUGCUGAAUGGGUGCACAUGUUCUAUGGGUAAAGGAGUCUUCAUGAAGACUGAGUAUUUUCAGGCCUGCUCCUGCAUCCAGACUUAAACAGGGUUGGGAUCCACCAUCUCUCUGAAAGGAGCUUGGUGCACCAGGAUGACCACUUCCCUCGGUGGCUGUGGAGAGGGUGUCCAAGGGCUGGUGGCCUAGGCCUGCCACAGAAGCCUGAAAACUUGCUGGAAUAGAUCCUGGAAAGGCCAUGGAGAAUGGAUGGUGAGAGAGACACCCCACCCCUGCCCCCUAUAGGGAGAUUUCAUGGAAGGAAAUGGACUGCUUCUGACUGGUCU